CAGCAGCCGCCGCGGUAAUACGGAGGAUCCAAGCGUUAUCCGGAAUCAUUGGGUUUAAAGGGUCCGUAGGCGGUCUUGUAAGUCAGUGGUGAAAGCCCAUCGCUCAACGGUGGAACGGCCAUUGAUACUGCAGGACUUGAAUUAUUGGGAAGUAACUAGAAUAUGUAGUGUAGCGGUGAAAUGCUUAGAGAUUACAUGGAAUACCAAUUGCGAAGGCAGGUUACUACCAAUUGAUUGACGCUGAUGGACGAAAGCGUGGGUAGCGAACAGGAUUAGAUACCCCUGUAGUCCCUGUCUCUUAUAC
rnacentral:rRNA from 1 species